rnacentral:lncRNA from 1 species
AUUUUGAAACCCUUAGACUCGAGAGUCUGUCUCCAUACCUCUAGCCUCUCAUUAACACCGACCCUCAUCUCGUCUAUCAAGAUUAUGUCAUCAGCAAAUAGCAUACACCUAGGCACAUUCCCUUGAAUAUGUCGAUCCUUGAUGGAGCCCCAUAACCACCGGAAAAUGGUCUGAUUCGCCACUCACCGUCCUAACGCUAGUCUUAGCUCCAUCGUACAUGUCCUUGAUUACUCUGAUGCAGGCUUCCGGCACGCUCUUCGCCUCCAAGCACCUCCAUAGUACCUCCCUUGGGACCUUGUCAUACGCAUUCUCCAAGUCGAUAAGCACCAUGUGCAGGUCCUUCUUCUUAUCCCUGAACUGCUCCACCAGCCUCUGACAAGG